UACGUAUGGGGCAAGCGUUAUCCGGAAUUAUUGGGCGUAAAGAGUGCGUAGGUGGUUACCUAAGCGCAAGGUUUAAUCUUGAGGCUCAACCUCAUUCUGCAUUUGAAACUGCUGUGCUUGAGUGCAGGAGAGGAAAGCGGAAUUCCUAGUGUAGCGGUGAAAUGCGUAGAUAUUAGGUGGAACACCAGUGGCGAAGGCGGCUUUCUGGACUGUAACUGACGCUCAGGCACGAAGGCGUGGGGAUCAAACAGGAUUAGAUA
rnacentral:rRNA from 1 species